rnacentral:rRNA from 1 species
AUUAAUUCGAUGCAACGCGAAAACCUUACCUACCCUUGACAUGUCUGGAACCUUGCUGAGAGGCGAGGGUGCCUUCGGAGCCAGAACACAGGUGCUGCAUGGCUGUCGUCAGCUCGUGUCGUGAGAUGUUGGGUUAAGUCCCGCAACGAGCGCAACCCUUGUCAUUAGUUGCCAUCAUUUAGUUGGGCACUCUAAUGAGACUGCCGGUGACAAACCGGAGGAAGGUGGGAUGACGUCAAAUCAUCAUGCCCCUUAUGACCUGGGCUACACACGUGCUACAAUGGUUGGUACAACGAGUUGCGAGUCGGUGACGGCGAGCUAAUCUCUUAAAGCCAAUCUCAGUUCGGAUUGUAGGCUGCAACUCGCCUACAUGAAGUCGGAAUCGCUAGUAGUCGCGGAUCAGCACGCCCGCGGUCCGAAUACGUUCCGGGCCUU